ACACUAUAUAAAUUUAGCUCAUAUUAUUACCUAUCUCAAGAGAAGGUGGAAUAAGAUGAUAAAGGUCAGGUGCAUGCUUAGCACAGUUUCUAGGAUGUUCUAGCAGUUCAAACCUGUUAGCUGCCCUUAUAAUUCCAUAUUUUAUCAGUUUAAAAGCAGUCUUUUUUUCCCCACCAUCUCUGAAUCUGUCUCUCAGUCACUUUAGGGAUGGAGGCAUCCAUGAUGUAAUUUUCAUUGCCCGCAGUUCAUCUUUUGCAGAACGGUGUCAGCUGCUUGGAAGAACAGCCCACAGGCAGUAGUGGAGCACUCUCUGAAGAAGUACCAACUGAUUCGACCCUGUGAUCACCCCUGGGCUCCAGAUGGUGCAGAGGAUGACGUUCUGGGGAAACCAUGGACGUAAACAGCUCUGGUCUGAAAAGCGACCCAGAGGAUGUGGAUUCUGAAUGCGACAAAAUUUGAGGAUUCCCUUAAAUAAUUUGCUUCACGAUAUUUUCCUUUCAUGCAUGCAUGAGAUUAAUAUACAUGAAAAACCCAUUCUACAUAAACCUAAAAAAGCUUUCAGUAAGUAUAAAAUAUGCCUUCUAAGUAAUUAAGAUCCACUGUGUCACAAUUCAGUAAGUUAUCUAUCUUUAUUUCUCAGAGGGACAUAAAAUAACAGCACAUCUGACAAUCACCAGUACCUUAGAUCAUGGAUGGUCAUGGCUACAUCAUCCACCUGCCAGUCAGCAUGUCCUGAGCAACCAGCCCACUGUAGCAGGUGUGGUGAGCUGAGAGUCAGAGGUUGGGGGAAGAGAAACAUGCUGGGGUCCCUGCCUGGAGUUGGCCGUGGAUGCUUCCUGCAGACUGGGCACUGCCUGGGGCAGCCCAGGCCUCCCAUGCUCUCCUCUUAGUAUCUUGCUGCCAAGCUGAAUCUACUCUGGCUUUUCUUGGGUGGCCUGGUCUUGGCUCAUUGUCGGCGUUCAGGCAAGUCAUUUCAUUUCAUCUGAGCAAGUUGCAACUGCUUGGGCUGAGCCUGUCCCAUGACUUACAAGGGCCAGGUCUGGGUUGGGCAGGCAAGUAGGUCUGAUAAGGAGGAUGGGCCAAUUCUGGCCGGCACUGCCUUGUAGGGAAUCCGGGCUUUCCCUGCAGGGCUCUGGGCACAGGCAAGGGAAAGAAGGGGUGGAGACUUGUACGCAGUGAAAGUGGCAGGCCUCUUUGAAUAUCAAUGAGAGAGAGCAGGACAGCGUCUCCAAGGUAGGAUGUUCUCCUGAUUCCAUGUGCCCAGGGCCUACAAGAAACCAAGCAGUGACCCUUGCUUCCACCCCCUCCACCAGUAUGAAAAUCUCUAGGCUUUCCUCUUUGAUUUUAAGAGGAUUCUGUGGGGAGAGAAAAUUUUGCUUAUCAAGAAAAGUAUCACUUAAUUUGGUGACAUUGAGUACAGGUGGUGACAUGUGAAUGUCAGAGAGGGAAGGGCCCGGGUUGGGGCAAGAGGAUGAAUGAGGUGGCCGAUUGCAGCCAAUGUCACAUGUUGGAAAGAGUCGUGAGCAGCCACUCCUUUUUGAAACUCAUUCCCACAUGUGAGUACACCCUGUGUGUGUUUUUUACUCCCAAGUUCAAGUUCUCUGGGUAAUUAAUGAUAUUUUGAAUAUACUGUCGACUGUGAAUUCAUCUGCCAAGAAAGGGAUAGUUGAUAUGGUUUGGUCAUUUUAAAUUUGAAGAUUAUUAAAAAGAGAGGUGGUGGUGGCAGGGGGUGGGGGAGAGAGGAAGGAAAAAUGGGGAAAGAAAGGAAGGAAAUCCAACUGAGGUGAUUUCUUUCUGUGUGAAUACUGCAGGAUAUUGUUAUAUUGCUAUAAUUUAUGUAUUUCUUGAUUGUUUUUGAUUGAUUGAUCCAUUGAGCAAACAUUUAUUGGAUGCCUAAGAUGAGUCAGGUGCUGUGCUAAGGCCUAAGUUAGUGAAACAGAGGGUUCCUGCCUUCAAGAAACUUGCAAGGUAGUAAACACGCAAAUGCUUAUGAUAUGAAUCGUUUGCUUGAGUUACUUGAUCUUUGCAACCUCCCUUUGAAGUAGGCAUUGUUAUCUAUUUUACAGAUAAUGAAAUAGAUUCCUGGAGGUGAAGAAACAAGGGAAGCUAGAGGACUCUGGGAAUUCAGAGUGAUGAGAAGUGGCACAAUCAAGAUUUGAAGACGAUGCAGAAGAAAUCUGAUGAUUCUCAGGGAUGCAGCUUGGUCCAUCAAGCCUUUAGCGACAGGACAGGCUACAUCACUUGCAGGGCCCAGUGUAAAAUAAAAACAGGAGGCACCUUGUUAAAAAAUUAUUAAGAAUUUCAAGAUGGUGACGGGAGAACAUUGGACCAAGUGGGAGAACUUCCUGGGCAUGGGAUCCUGUACAACCACACAGGCCUCACUGCCAUGAAGCCAGCCCUUACUCUUGACCGUGGCUGUCUUUUCCUGGAUAUCUGAAUAAACUGAAAACCUCCAUCACCUGUCCAGAUAUUCUGGAUCACAUACCAUGCAUGUGGGCAUUUGGGAACGUCCAUUUUUUUGGUAUUUAUUUACUAUUUUAAAAAUGGAAUUGUAAUUGACAUAUAUAAUAUUAUAUUAGUUUCAGGCACAACAUAGUGAUUUGAUAUUUUUAUGCUCUAUGAAAUGAUCACCUUGACAGGUCUAGUUGUCAUCUGUCACCAUAAAGUUAUUAUAAUAUUAUUGUCUCUAUUCCCUAUGUUUUACAUUACAUACCCAUGACUUAUUUAUUUUAUAAUUAAAAGUUCGUAGCUCUUAAUUCCCUUCACCUAUUUUGCCCAUUCCCCCCAGCAACCACCAGCUUGUUCUCUGUAUUUAUGAGUCUGAUUCUGUUUUGUUUUGUUUGUUUGUUUUGUUUUUUGAUUCCACAUGUAAGUGAAAUCAUACGGUAUUUGUCUUUCUUUGUCUGCCUUAUUAUACUUAGCAUAAUACCCUCUAGGUGUUGUUGCAAAUGUCAAGAUUUCAUUCUUUUUAAUGGCUGAAUAAUAUUCCAUUGUGUAGAUGUACGACAUCUUCUUUAUCCAUUCAUCUAUUGAUGGACACUUAGGUUGCUUCCAUACCUUGGCUACUAUAAAUAAUGCUGCAGUGAACAUAGGGGUACAAAUGUCUUUUCAAAUUAGUAUUUUCAUUUUCUUUAGAUAAAUACCCAGAAGAGGUAAUGCUAGAUUGUGCAGUAGUUCAAUUUUUUGAGGAACCUCUGUACUGUCUUCCCUAGUGGCUGCACCAGUGAACAUCCCUGCCAACAGUGUUGGAGGGCUCCCUUUCCUCCACAUCCUCACCAACACUUGUUAUUUAUUGGUUUUUUGAUAAUAGCCAUUCUGACUGAUGUGAGGUGAUAUUUCACUGUGGUUUUGAAUUGCAUUUCCCUGAUGAUUAGUGAUGUUGAGCAUCUUUUCAUGUGUCUGUUGGCCAUCUGUAUGUCUUCUUUCUAUUCAAGUCAGGAACACCCAUUCUUUAAUGUACUUUCUCUUAAACCACUUAUUACAGGUAUUGGGAGAUAUUGGCAAGAUCAAACUUUCUUUGAGAAAUACAAUGUCUGGUGGGACAGGAAAACAUCUACACAUACCCAUACAAAGUAAUUAAUAAGCCUAUUAUUCCAUUCGUUUAGUUAGUACACAUUUGUUACUAUCUACUAUGUACCAGGCACUGUGCUGGGCAUCAGAGAUACAGAAAUAAAUCAAAUAUCAUUAAAAGCACAGAAUAUGAGGCUGCACCCUUAGGGAUAGGAUCCCCAUGACCUUGGGCGAGUUACUUAACCUCCCUGGGCUGUAGACUCCUCAUCUGUACUAUGACGAUAAUCAUAAUACUUUCUUGCAAGAAUUGUUGUGAGGAUUAAAUGAAUUAAUCCUCAUAUUAAAUGAGCUAAUAUGAGGAGAUUUUUAGAACAGUGCCUGGCACAUAUAGUGCACUAUGUAAGUUAUUUUCUCAAGGAAUUAGAAGUCUAGUGGCAGAGAAUGACACACACAUAUGCAAAAUGUACCCAAUAAUUAAUUCAACAAAAAGUUCAUCCCAUCUGACCUGUUUCAGGUUUCGCGUGUGGCACUGGGGAGACGUGAGGAAAAGCAAGAUGUGGUCUCUUUCCUCCCUGCCUCCCCUGAGUCCACAGCCCUGUGCUUGUCUAACAGCAGAGCAGGGCCCUGUUAUGACAAAACCACCGUUUCAAAAUGUGUUGUUACUGCUCCUGUAUUUUAUCCUUGGCAUGAAGAUGUGCUGAGGGCAGGUGUGUGGGAGAGGAGCUUGCAAGGUAUUUGGGGAGCUCGAAGCAGAGUGCUCUCCCCUCCCUGAGGAGGAGAGAGGCCAGCAGGAGCUUCUCUCUUCCUCAGGACCUAGCUGUCAUGUGGAGCAGACCCAGCGUUCGUGUAGAUGGCAAGACAGAGCAAAGCAGAGCCCGUGUUUGGCCACGGAGAGGUUUGCUGCACACCCUGUGACUCAUCCUCCCGGCCCAGCGGCCCCAGGGCUGAGCGCACAGGCCCUCUGACUCAGGCACUGUGGGGAGUCCUCCUCUGGGUAAAGGCAGGAGGCUGUCCUGUGCCCCGGAGUGUGGGCCUUCCCCUGCCUUCACCAGCCUCUGCGCUCUCUGCUGCACUCAUGUCGGAUGCCGUACCUGCUCGGGGACAGAGAAAACUGCCAUCCACCCCUGCCCAGAAGCAGAUUUUACAAGGGCUGGCUUCUCUGGGGAAUUUCACCCUAGCUUCUCACAGAAUGAGCAGGGAGGUGCUGUGAUCUGGAGGGGUGGGUGAAGUCGGCGGAGGUGGCUGCCCUAGGCUGCUCACUGCCCCUCUCUGGGCCUUGCUGCUGAAGGUGUUGGGUCUCUGAGGAAGAGGGGAGCAGCAGAGGCCAGCCAGCUCAGCUGGGAAAAACGCAUGCUAAUGAGGCACUGUGUUUUGGCUUUUGGCCUCUUAUGUGUGCUCCCUGGAAAUGCAGAUCAGCCUCAUCUUGGAGCUUGCUAGAAAUGCAGAAUCUCAGGCUCUACCCUGACCCACUGCAUUAGAACCUGCAUUUUAAUAAGCUCUCCUGAUGAUUCAUGUACAUGUUGAAGUUUGAGCAAUGUGCGAACUUGGCUGCACCUGGGAAUCUGGGGAGUUUUGACACAUUCAGCUGUCUGAGACCCACUCCCCAGAGAUUCUGAUUUUACUUGGCUGAGGUGUGUCAUGGCACCUUCAAAGGUCCCAGGUGACUUGAAGGGGCAGAAGCCCUGCUCUAGUGUAUCAGGAUGAUGUUGUGGAGCCCAAUCCCACACUCAAAUGAAUGCCCACAGUGUCCAGUGUGGCACAGAAAUGAGCCCAGGAGGAUAGGGUCAGCGAAGGUGACGUCCGGUGCGUAUGGCAGAGAUGACUGAGAAUGGAGGAGGGCUGUUGCCUGGACGACAGGGCCCUGUGGUAUUAUUGAGCUGCAGCUGUUUGUCACCACACCUCAAUGCACACCCUGUGGGGCCAGAUCUCCCCAAAAUACAGCUGUUGCUGUGGCAACCUCUAAUUUUUAAAUGUUGGCUCAGUCUUACUUCAAAAUACUCUGUGGUCUAAACAGAAUGGGCAGCAGGUGGCCUGGACCUCCUGGUUUGUAACCUCUGUCCAAGGUAGGGUGUCCUACUGUCCUGGUUUGCCAGCAACUGUCUUGGUUUUGGUGCUGGGAGUCCAACAUCCUUGAGAGCCACUCAGUCUCCAGCAAACCAGGAUGGCAGGUCUUGAUGCAGGGUGCUUACUGAGUUAGCAGCAUCCGCUUUGGACCUCUCUCUCCCAGGUUUGAAUUCUGCCUGUUACUGACUUACUAUGUGAUCUUGGUCAUGUCACUUUAUCUCUAUAUACCUUAGUUUCUUCAUUAGUAAAAGGUGCUCAUAGUGUCCUUGUGAGAACGAGAUGAAUUCAUACACAAAGUGCUCAGAGCAGUCCCUGGCAUUCAGCAAAGGCUGUGUGAAUGUUAGGUUAUUAUUAUUCAAUUAUUGCAUGUUUGGUGUAAACCCAUCUAACUUCACCAAAUUUGAAAGUAUCUCAGAGCAUCUGCACUGACAUGCUAAAAAUGGGAGCUCUGGAUGCAGAAGACCUGGCAUUGAGGCCUGUCAGUGCCACCUAUGAGCUGUGUGACCUAGAACAGGUUACUUAACAUCUCUGUGCCUCACUGCUCAAAUGUUAAGUUGGGAUAAUCAUAUCUAUCUUCAGGAAUGCUGUGAAGAAUAAACGAGGUGAUGUGUUUCAAUCUGAAGUCCACCUGGGAGAGAUGUGUUCUUGUUAGAGGGUUGAUGCUGUCUCUUCAUCCUUCAGGAAUGUUAAAAAAAAAAAAAGGUUCAGGGUGAAGAAAUGGUUUAAUUGCAGAGAUGUAUAAAUGUUUCAAGAAAUUUAAUCAAUCACUACAACAGGUUGCAUCACCUCAAAAGGAAGUCAAACAUACACCAGGGUGAGCUUCAGCUCUUCUUGUGGUCAGAAAGCUAGAACACUUGUUAUAUUAUAUUAUUUUAUAAUAUGUAAAAAAUAUAUAAGAAUGUUUUAUAAAAUAAAAUAAAAUAGUACAGUUUUUUGUGAGUAUCUGUUUCCUUCUCAAGUGGCAGCCCUCAACCUGAAAUACUUUCAUUUAAAAAAAGAGUCUUUGCAAAUAGUUGGUCAUGAUUUGGCUGCAGAAUUUUUACUUUUUUUCUUUUUAUUUGAAAAGUCACAUACAGUUGAGCACUUUGUUUAGAAGCCAUGUGACUAAAAUAAUUUGUAUUGGUAUCUGUUGUUGCAUGACAAACCACAAAGCACCCCAGAACUUGGUGUCCUGAAAUAACACCUAUCUAUUUAGCUUGUGAUUCUGCCAGGUGGUUCUCUGGUCUUGGGGUCGGGCUUGGACGAUCUUGGCCACGCUGGCUCAUCACGUCUUCAGUGAAUUGGCGUGGUCUAGUCUCAGACGGCCUCAGUCACAGUGGCCGUUGGCUGGUGGUGGCAGGGGACCUCCUGUCUCUCAUCAUUCCACAGGCUAGCUUGGGCCUCCUCACAUGGUGGCAGAGCUCCAUGUGCAGGUGCUUCUCCAGCCUCUGAUUUGGUCAUGUUUGCCAUUCUUCCCU